UACGUAGGUGGCAAGCGUUAUCCGGAAUUACUGGGCGUAAAGCGCACGCAGGCGGUCUGUUAAGUUUGACGGUGAAAGCUCCCGGCUUAACUGGGAGAGGUCGUUGAAGACUGGCAGACUUGAGGCGAUGAGAGGGGUGUAGAAUUCCCGGUGUAGUGGUGGAAUGCGUAGAUAUCGGGGGGAAUACCAGUGGCGAAAGCGGCACCCUAGCGUUAGCCUGACGCUCA
rnacentral:rRNA from 1 species